UACGGAGGAUGCGAGCGUUAUCCGGAUUUAUUGGGUUUAAAGGGUGCGUAGGCGGACUGUCAAGUCAGCGGUAAAAUUGAGAGGCCCAACCCCGGCCCGCCGUUGAAACUGGCAGUCUCGAGUUGGAGAGAAGUAUGCGGAAUGCGCGGUGUAGCGGUGAAAUGCAUAGAUAUCGCGCAGAACUCCGAUUGCGAAGGCAGCAUGCCGGCUCCACACUGACGCUGAGGCACGAAAGCGUGGGUAUCGAACAGG
rnacentral:rRNA from 1 species